rnacentral:lncRNA from 1 species
CUUCAUCCAAGUCGAUUCCCCAGAAGUUGAUGAAACGUGUUAUCGGGUCUCCAAGAGAGAAGUUUGGAAAAUUGCCAGCUCCUUGCACAAAGACUGAAAUGGGAUGGGCAGAGAAGUGUGUUGGUGGCGGUAAGAGAAAAAUGACUGAAACUGCAUCAUUUGUAUGAUUAAAAUCAUUGUGUGAAUUUUGAUUUCCCCCCCCUCCUUUCAGACAUUUGCGGAUGCUGUCAAGUCAAUGGACUUCUGUUGUAGUGGUUGCUUCAGUGAACAUUCAACGCUGUCGGUGAGUUUGGAAUUAAAGUGAAAACCAUCGACCGUUGAUUGUACCCUCCAGCUAACCAUCCUCCUCCUUACUUCAUGCUUUCAGGCCUUAACACCGAAGAUAGCAACCUAACCACCACAUGAUGUUUCUCCCCCACUCUCUCAAGCUUUACCACAAAAGGUCACAAUCAACAUUCAUUGCUGUCGGUGGGUUUAACUAUGUGGACAAGCUCACUGAACAAUGAAUGCAACUGUGGCCCCACAUUUUACAGUUGCCAUUGAGAGGCACAUCAGCUCUGAAAGCAGUAGUGAGAAGCAAACACUUCUUAUAGGCUAUAUUUUUAUGGUAAAAAAAAAAAAAAAUAGUUGGGGAUAGUCACUUUUUGCUUGCGUGUUUGUAAAUGUGUUUAACUUCGCUGACUAGGAAAAAAAACACCUCACUGCCUUUUUCUGAAAUAUUGUCCUCCCAGGGAUAAGCAUCGUUGAAACGACAGUCAGUAUAUAGGUGGAAACUAAUAACAACAUGAAGAAAUUUGUGUAUAUUCACUCCUAAGGACUCUGAGCAUAAGAGGAAAGAAUAUUUAAAUCUUAUGUUAACUAGGCAUUGUGGAAUAGUUCAAAAAUUUCUUCUAUGCUUGUCACAGCAAAUGCAAAUGGGAGCCAGAGUUCAAAGACAUAGAUAAAAUAUUAUAUCAAAGGAUUCAUUAAUUUUAUACGAAACUGAUCUUAAGCACCUAAAUAAAUAUUAUUAGACAGCAAAUACUACUAUAUUU